UCCGACUUAACGUCGGCAGUCUCUUUAGAGUGCCCAACUGAAUGCUGGCAACUAAAGACAAGGGUUGCGCUCGUUGCGGGACUUAACCCAACAUCUCACGACACGAGCUGACGACAGCCAUGCAGCACCUAUAUACAGACCCGAAGGCGAUGAUAUCUCUACCAUCUUCCUGUACAUUUCGAGCCCAGGUAAGGUUCUUCGCGUAGCAUCGAAUUGAACCACAUGCUCCACCGCUUGUGCGGGCCCCCGUCAAUUUCUUUGAGUUUUAAUCUUGCGACCGUACUUCCCAGGCGGGACACUUAACGCGUUAGCUUCGUCACUGAAGGGGUCAAUACCUCCAACAACAAGUGUCCAUCGUUUACGGCGUGGACUAC
rnacentral:misc_RNA from 1 species